UACGUAGGGUGCAAGCGUUUGUCCGGAAUUAUUGGGCGUAAAGAGCUCGUAGGCGGUUUGUCGCGUCUGCUGUGAAAACUCGGGGCUUAACCCCGGGCCUGCAGUGGGUACGGGCAGACUAGAGUGCGGUAGGGGAGACUGGAAUUCCUGGUGUAGCGGUGAAAUGCGCAGAUAUCAGGAGGAACACCGGCGGCGAAGGCGGGUCUCUGGGCCAUAACUGACGCUGAGGAGCGAAAGCGUGGGGAGCGAACAGG
rnacentral:rRNA from 1 species